rnacentral:lncRNA from 1 species
UCUCAUUUUAAUAUAGCUAGGCCGCCUGACUAAUUUCGUCGCGAUCGGAGUCCGUCUGGUACCCGAACGGUCGACCGUAGCGGCACCGUAUUCGGUCUACCGUCGGGAUGUUUUAAAACACGUUGCCGCGCCACCCGUUUUCCCUCUCGUCUCCGGAUUACUGCUCCACACAACCCACUAGUUCCACCUAGUCACUUCCUCCGUUCGUGGUCAUCGGAUCACGAUCGGACGGACGAGGUCCACCCCACCAGAGACCAACCCUAUAUAAGUAACACCCCCUAGAG